UGGGGAAUUUUGGACAAUGGGCGAAAGCCUGAUCCAGCAAUGCCGCGUGUGUGAAGAAGGCCUUCGGGUUGUAAAGCACUUUUGUCCGGAAAGAAAUCCUUGGCUCUAAUACAGUCGGGGGAUGACGGUACCGGAAGAAUAAGCACCGGCUAACUACGUGCCAGCAGCCGCGGUAAUACGUAGGGUGCAAGCGUUAAUCGGAAUUACUGGGCGUAAAGCGUGCGCAGGCGGUUUGCUAAGACCGAUGUGAAAUCCCCGGGCUCAACCUGGGAACUGCAUUGGUGACUGGCAGGCUAGAGUAUGGCAGAGGGGGGUAGAAUUCCACGUGUAGCAGUGAAAUGCGUAGAGAUGUGGAGGAAUACCGAUGGCGAAGGCAGCCCCCCUGGGCCAAUACUGACGCUCAUGCACGAAAGCGUGGGGGAGCAAAACAGGAUUAGAUACCCUGGUAGUCCACGCCCCUAAAACGAUGUCAACUAGUUGUUGGGGAUUCAUUUCCUUAGUAACGUAGCUAACGCGUGAAGUUUGACCGCCUGGGGAGUACGGUCGCAAGAUUAAAA
rnacentral:rRNA from 1 species